CCUAUACAUGCAGUCGAGCGGACAGAUGGGAGCUUGCUCCCUGAUGUUAGCGGCGGACGGGUGAGUAACACGUGGGUAACCUGCCUGUAAGACUGGGAUAACUCCGGGAAACCGGGGCUAAUACCGGAUGGUUGUUUGAACCGCAUGGUUCAGACAUAAAAGGUGGCUUCGGCUACCACUUACAGAUGGACCCGCGGCGCAUUAGCUAGUUGGUGAGGUAACGGCUCACCAAGGCGACGAUGCGUAGCCGACCUGAGAGGGUGAUCGGCCACACUGGGACUGAGACACGGCCCAGACUCCUACGGGAGGCAGCAGUAGGGAAUCUUCCGCAAUGGACGAAAGUCUGACGGAGCAACGCCGCGUGAGUGAUGAAGGUUUUCGGAUCGUAAAGCUCUGUUGUUAGGGAAGAACAAGUGCCGUUCAAAUAGGGCGGCACCUUGACGGUACCUAACCAGAAAGCCACGGCUAACUACGUGCCAGCAGCCGCGGUAAUACGUAGGUGGCAAGCGUUGUCCGGAAUUAUUGGGCGUAAAGGGCUCGCAGGCGGUUUCUUAAGUCUGAUGUGAAAGCCCCCGGCUCAACCGGGGAGGGUCAUUGGAAACUGGGGAACUUGAGUGCAGAAGAGGAGAGUGGAAUUCCACGUGUAGCGGUGAAAUGCGUAGAGAUGUGGAGGAACACCAGUGGCGAAGGCGACUCUCUGGUCUGUAACUGACGCUGAGGAGCGAAAGCGUGGGGAGCGAACAGGAUUAGAUACCCCUGGUAGUCCACGCCGUAAACGAUGAGUGCUAAGUGUUAGGGGGUUUCCGCCCCUUUAGUGCUGCAGCUAACGCAUUAAAGCACUUCCGACUUGAGGAGUACGGUCGCAAGACUGGAACUUCAAGAAUGACGGGCGUCCGCACAAGCUGAUGGAGCAUGUGGUCUUA
rnacentral:rRNA from 2 species